UACGUAGGGUGCAAGCGUUGUCCGGAAUUAUUGGGCGUAAAGAGCUCGUAGGCGGCUUGUCGCGUCGGCUGUGAAAACCUGGGGCUCAACCCCGGGCCUGCAGCCGAUACGGGCAAGCUAGAAUUCGGUAGGGGAGACUGGAAUUCCUGGUGUAGCGGUGAAAUGCGCAGAUAUCAGGAGGAACACCGGUGGCGAAGGCGGCCCGCUGGGCAGGAAGGCUCGCAAGAGCCGGCUGACGCUGAGGCGCGACAGCGUGGGGAGCAAACAGG
rnacentral:rRNA from 1 species